AAUAUCAAAAUACUUAGAAGUUUUGGUAAGAGACUUGGUAAUAGGAUAAUAGGGAAAGUGGUUAGAGUCCACUACAGCCCCCGCUACUGUAAAUAGGGAUGAAAUCUAAAUUCCAUUAGCUGUUUAGCUGAGAAGGAUAGAAAGUAAAGUGAACUAUAAGUCAGGAGACCUGCCUAUUGAUUAGAAAUUUCG
rnacentral:ncRNA from 20 species